AACACAACCUAAGAUGACUCUAAAAUAGAUUGGUUCUUUCAUGGAAAUAUACAGAUUUGUUUUCGCUCUUGACUUUUGUUCACAUUUUCCUUGUUCCUGCUAGAUAUGAAAACAACCCAUCAUGUCAGCUUUUAAAUAGGGACAGUAUAUACCAGUCUGCGUAGCGUACAUGCUCAGUUCCAGAAAAGAGAAACAAUUACGAGUCUGGAUGCGGGCUACACAUUUUCUAGCUCAAGUUCCUUACGAGAUGUAGCCAUGCGGAGGAGGCACGGCUUCUGUAUACGCAUUUGUACGGUGCUUAAUAAGAAGACGCUGUUAUUGGAGGGGGGAAACGGAUGCCACAAGCUGAUCAUGUCGGAGCCCCACACCGUCACUGGAUCCACUGGAAAAUAAAUCCACCGUAAAGGCAGUGAUGCUCUGGACACAGCUCAGCCUGGGAUCUGCCCAUGCAGCUCACCUUCCAGGACAAAUUUUUAACUAAGGAAGAGAGCAGGUAGGACAGGUGUUCUUCUUCAGAAGCCUUGCUGUGAUUGUUUUGGCAUGACCUCAUCUCGAAGCCCUGUUGUGAAUAGUUAGAUUUUCUCACAUCAUUUUGUGGUUGGGAAGGGCUUUUUGGCUUCCAUAAUCGAUUCACUUUAUGAAGAAAACACUAAAAAAAAUGAUGGCCAGAGAAUGUGUUUCAUCUUCAGUAAAAACAACAACCUGACCUCUCCCUGAGAGAGCACUGCCUUGGAAGCAGCCUUUCUGGUAGGCUAGGGAAAGCUGACUUCUGAGAUCCAACCUAGGGAGGAGAUUCAGUAACAAAAUGUGGUCUUUUCAUAGCUACUUCCCUACAAUAUUUAGAUUUACAUCUCAUAUUACAGAAUAUUAAAAAACAAGAGGACCAUUUAAGGACUAGAAGAUGGACUAGAUUAUUUUAUUAUCUACUUUUCAAUGCCCUUUUCCUUUUUCAGUGGCCUGAGCUUAACUUCUCUUCAUCUAUAUUGGCUCCAGCUCAAAGGGUCAUAUAACCGUCUGAGUCAAUAGCAGAGCUUUUAGCACCAGAC
rnacentral:lncRNA from 1 species